UACGUAGGGGGCAAGCGUUGUCCGGAAUCAUUGGGCGUAAAGAGCGUGUAGGCGGCCCGAUAAGUCCGCCGUGAAAGCCCAGGCUCAACCCUGGGAUGCCGGUGGAUACUGUCGGGCUAGAAUCCGGAAGAGGCGAGUGGAAUUCCUGGUGUAGCGGUGAAAUGCGCAGAUAUCAGGAGGAACACCGAGUGGCGAAGGCAGCUCGCUGGGACGGUAUUGACGCUGAGACGCGAAAGCGUGGGGAGCAAACAGG
rnacentral:rRNA from 1 species